rnacentral:rRNA from 1 species
GCUUACAGUUUGAUCCUGGCUCAUGAUGAACACUGGCGGCGUGCCUAACACAUGCACGUCGAACGGACUCUUCCGAGUCAGUGGCGGACGGGUGAGUAACGCGUGAGAACCUGCCUCUACGAAGGGGAUAACAGCGGGAAACGGCUGCUAAUACCCCAUGAGCCGUAUGGUAAAAAGGAAUCCGCCUACAGAGGGGCUCGCGUCCGAUUAACUAGUUGGGGAGGUAAAAGCUCACCGAGGCGACCAUCGGUAGCUGGUCUGAGAGGAUGAGCAGCCACACUGGGACUGAUACACGGCCCAUACUCCUACGGGAGGCAGCAGUGGGGAAUUUUCCGCAGUGGGCGAAAGCCUGACGGAGCAACGCCGCGUGAGGGAAGAAGGCCUUUGGGUUGUAAACCUCUUUUCUCAGGGAAGAAGUUCUGACGGUACCUGAGGAAUCAGCCUCGGCUAACUCCGUGCCAUCAGCCGCGGUAAUACGGACGAGGCAAGCGUUAUCCGGAAUUAUUGCGCGUAUAGCAUUCGUAGGCGGCCGUUCAGGUCUGCUG